rnacentral:rRNA from 1 species
AAAGUCCGUAACAAGGUCUCCGUUGGUGAACCAGCGGAGGGAUCAUUACCGAGUUUACAACUCCCAAACCCCUGUGAACAUACCUAUACGUUGCCUCGGCGGAUCAGCCCGCGCCCCGUAAAAAGGGACGGCCCGCCCGAGGACCCCUAAACUCUGUUUUUAGUGGAACUUCUGAGUAAAACAAACAAAUAAAUCAAAACUUUCAACAACGGAUCUCUUGGUUCUGGCAUCGAUGAAGAACGCAGCAAAAUGCGAUAAGUAAUGUGAAUUGCAGAAUUCAGUGAAUCAUCGAAUCUUUGAACGCACAUUGCGCCCGCCAGUAUUCUGGCGGGCAUGCCUGUUCGAGCGUCAUUUCAACCCUCAAGCUCAGCUUGGUGUUGGGACUCGCGGUAACCCGCGUUCCCCAAAUCGAUUGGCGGUCACGUCGAGCUUCCAUAGCGUAGUAAUCAUACACCUCGUUACUGGUAAUCGUCGCGGCCACGCCGUAAAACCCCAACUUCUGAAUGUUGACCUCGGAUCAGGUAGGAAUACCCGCUGAACUUAAGCAUAUCAAUAA